rnacentral:rRNA from 3 species
UUAAGCGACUAAGCGUACACGGUGGAUGCCCUGGCAGUCAGAGGCGAUGAAGGGCGUGCUAAUCUGCGAUAAGCGCCGGUAAGGUGAUAUGAACCGUUAUAACCGGCGAUACCCGAAUGGGGAAACCCAGUGUGAUUCGUCACACUAUCAUUAACUGAAUCCAUAGGUUAAUGAGGCGAACCGGGGGAACUGAAACAUCUAAGUACCCCGAGGAAAAGAAAUCAACCGAGAUUCCCCCAGUAGCGGCGAGCGAACGGGGAGGAGCCCAGAGCCUGAAUCAGCAUGUGUGUUAGUGGAAGCGUCUGGAAAGGCGCGCGAUACAGGGUGACAGCCCCGUACACAAAAGCGCAUGUGCUGUGAGCUCGAUGAGUAGGGCGGGACACGUGGUAUCCUGUCUGAAUAUGGGGGGACCAUCCUCCAAGGCUAAAUACUCCUGACUGACCGAUAGUGAACCAGUACCGUGAGGGAAAGGCGAAAAGAACCCCGGCGAGGGGAGUGAAAAAGAACCUGAAACCGUGUACGUACAAGCAGUGGGAGCACAGGUUUACCUGUGUGACUGCGUACCUUUUGUAUAAUGGGUCAGCGACUUAUAUUCUGUAGCAAGGUUAACCGUAUAGGGGAGCCGUAGGGAAACCGAGUCUUAACCGGGCGUUAAGUUGCAGGGUAUAGACCCGAAACCCGGUGAUCUAGCCAUGGGCAGGUUGAAGGUUGGGUAACACUAACUGGAGGACCGAACCGACUAAUGUUGAAAAAUUAGCGGAUGACCUGUGGCUGGGGGUGAAAGGCCAAUCAAACCGGGAGAUAGCUGGUUCUCCCCGAAAGCUAUUUAGGUAGCGCCUCGUGAAUUCAUCUCCGGGGGUAGAGCACUGUUUCGGCUAGGGGGCCAUCCCGGCUUACCAACCCGAUGCAAACUGCGAAUACCGGAGAAUGUUAUCACGGGAGACACACGGCGGGUGCUAACGUCCGUCGUGAAGAGGGAAACAACCCAGACCGCCAGCUAAGGUCCCAAAGUCAUGGUUAAGUGGGAAACGAUGUGGGAAGGCCCAGACAGCCAGGAUGUUGGCUUAGAAGCAGCCAUCAUUUAAAGAAAGCGUAAUAGCUCACUGGUCGAGUCGGCCUGCGCGGAAGAUGUAACGGGGCUAAACCAUGCACCGAAGCUGCGGCAGCGAACGUAUCACCCAAGACAACUUUACGGAGUUGACGAUUGACGGAGCGAAGCGACGUCAAAGCGUUCAUUAAAGUCGAGUUGGCUUAGGGAUACGUUCGUUGGGUAGGGGAGCGUUCUGUAAGCCUGUGAAGGUGUGUCGUGAGGCAUGCUGGAGGUAUCAGAAGUGCGAAUGCUGACAUAAGUAACGAUAAAGCGGGUGAAAAGCCCGCUCGCCGGAAGACCAAGGGUUCCUGUCCAACGUUAAUCGGGGCAGGGUGAGUCGACCCCUAAGGCGAGGCCGAAAGGCGUAGUCGAUGGGAAACGGGUUAAUAUUCCCGUACUUGGUGUUACUGCGAAGGGGGGACGGAGAAGGCUAUGUUGGCCGGGCGACGGUUGUCCCGGUUUAAGCGUGUAGGUGUGUGUUCCAGGUAAAUCCGGUUCACUUUAACACUGAGGCGUGACGACGAGGCACUACGGUGCUGAAGCAACAAAUGCCCUGCUUCCAGGAAAAGCCUCUAAGCAUCAGGUAACACGAAAUCGUACCCCAAACCGACACAGGUGGUCAGGUAGAGAAUACCAAGGCGCUUGAGAGAACUCGGGUGAAGGAACUAGGCAAAAUGGUGCCGUAACUUCGGGAGAAGGCACGCUGACACGUAGGUGAAGUGAUUUACUCAUGGAGCUGAAGUCAGUCGAAGAUACCAGCUGGCUGCAACUGUUUAUUAAAAACACAGCACUGUGCAAACACGAAAGUGGACGUAUACGGUGUGACGCCUGCCCGGUGCCGGAAGGUUAAUUGAUGGGGUCAGCGCAAGCGAAGCUCCUGAUCGAAGCCCCGGUAAACGGCGGCCGUAACUAUAACGGUCCUAAGGUAGCGAAAUUCCUUGUCGGGUAAGUUCCGACCUGCACGAAUGGCGUAAUGAUGGCCAGGCUGUCUCCACCCGAGACUCAGUGAAAUUGAACUCGCUGUGAAGAUGCAGUGUACCCGCGGCAAGACGGAAAGACCCCGUGAACCUUUACUAUAGCUUGACACUGAACAUUGAGCCUUGAUGUGUAGGAUAGGUGGGAGGCUUUGAAGUGUGGACGCCAGUCUGCAUGGAGCCGACCUUGAAAUACCACCCUUUAAUGUUUGAUGUUCUAACGUGGACCCGUAAUCCGGGUUGCGGACAGUGUCUGGUGGGUAGUUUGACUGGGGCGGUCUCCUCCUAAAGAGUAACGGAGGAGCACGAAGGUUGGCUAAUCCUGGUCGGACAUCAGGAGGUUAGUGCAAUGGCAUAAGCCAGCUUGACUGCGAGCGUGACGGCGCGAGCAGGUGCGAAAGCAGGUCAUAGUGAUCCGGUGGUUCUGAAUGGAAGGGCCAUCGCUCAACGGAUAAAAGGUACUCCGGGGAUAACAGGCUGAUACCGCCCAAGAGUUCAUAUCGACGGCGGUGUUUGGCACCUCGAUGUCGGCUCAUCACAUCCUGGGGCUGAAGUAGGUCCCAAGGGUAUGGCUGUUCGCCAUUUAAAGUGGUACGCGAGCUGGGUUUAGAACGUCGUGAGACAGUUCGGUCCCUAUCUGCCGUGGGCGCUGGAGAACUGAGGGGGGCUGCUCCUAGUACGAGAGGACCGGAGUGGACGCAUCACUGGUGUUCGGGUUGUCAUGCCAAUGGCACUGCCCGGUAGCUAAAUGCGGAAGAGAUAAGUGCUGAAAGCAUCUAAGCACGAAACUUGCCCCGAGAUGAGUUCUCCCUGAGACUUAGAGUCUCCUGAAGGAACGUUGAAGACGACGACGUUGAUAGGCCGGGUGUGUAAGCGCAGCGAUGCGUUGAGCUAACCGGUACUAAUGAACCGUGAGGCUUAACCUU